rnacentral:sRNA from 1 species
UGAAUCAGCGUGGCCCAGGAGGCUUCAAGAGUGGGAAGAAGUCAAGGAAGCUCACAGAGUAAGAGGGACCAUCUCCUCAUGAACGUCAAAUGGUACUACCGUCAAUCUGAGGUUCCAGAUUCUGUGUAUCAGCAUUUGGUUCAGGAUCGACAUAAUGAAAAUGACUCUGGAAGAGAACUUGUCAUUACAGACCCAGUUAUCAAGAACCGAGAGCUCUUCAUUUCUGAUUACGUUGACACUUACCAUGCUGCUGCCCUUAGAGGGAAGUGUAACAUCUCCCAUUUUUCUGACAUAUUUGCUGCUAGAGAGUUCAAAGCCCGAGUGGAUUCAUUUUUCUACAUAUUAGGAUAUAACC